rnacentral:ribozyme from 1 species
AAGAGUACAAUUGACACGUGAAUUUAUUCCAACCAAGACAGCUGAACCUAGAAAGGGCAACUCUUUCUUCACUCAGCAAGUAUCUCGUAAUCUACCGACAACUCUACGCAUUUCCUCAAUUUUAUUACAACCGUUUGAUGAAUGUAGCGUAAGGAAAACACUCAAGGCCACCACAGCGCUCUUCAAAUCUUCAAA